rnacentral:rRNA from 1 species
GACGAACGCUGGCGGCGUGCUUAACACAUGCAAGUCGAACGGAAAGGCCCUGCUUGCAGGGUACUCGAGUGGCGAACGGGUGAGUAACACGUGGGUGAUCUGCCCUGCACUUCGGGAUAAGCCUGGGAAACUGGGUCUAAUACCGGAUAGGAGCCAUUUUUAGUGUGAUGGUUGGAAAGUUUUUUUCGGUGUAGGAUGAGCUCGCGGCCUAUCAGCUUGUUGGUGGGGUAAUGGCCUACCAAGGCGGCGACGGGUAGCCGGCCUGAGAGGGUGGACGGCCACAGUGGGACUGAGAGACGGCCCAGACUCCUACGGGAGGCAGCAGUGGGGAAUAUUGCACAAUGGGCGCAAGCCGGAUGCAGCGACGCCGCGUGGGGGAUGACGGCCUUCGGGUUGGAAACUCAUUUCGCUAGGGACGAAGCUUUUUGUGACGGUACCUAGAGAAGAAGCACCGGCUAACUACGUG